UGGGAAAGACUUCUGAUGCAAUGAAGACUUAAUAAAGAUUUGAUUUUGAAUCAGUAAUUCAUGUCAUUGCAAAACAACUACUUGGUAGAAUUCUUUUCUUUGGCAAUAAUUUUCCUAAGAGCAGAAAUUAACAAUCAAAAUAUGUAGUACUCUUCAUUUUCUGAAAACAAAUCUAUGUCUAGAUGAGAGAAGAAUUCAUUGUAUAACUAGAGCUCUGGACUUAAAAAUCCAAAUCCUGUCUUUUCAACCAUGCCUACUAAGUUUCUAUCUAACUUUUGAACAUUGGGUGGUAGCUUCAGCUUUCAUCCCCUUAUUGAGUAUAUAGCUUGGCAACUAAGAGAGAUAAAUCUAAAAUUUGACAGCCUGGGUUCAAAUCUUGACUCUAAAAUUGAUUUGCUGAGUACCCUAAGCAGGUUAUCUGUUUUUACCUUGGUUUUCUCACUUAUAACAUAGAAAUAAUAUUACUUCUUUCAGGGAGCUGCUGUGAGGGUUAAAAAAAAAAAUCAUACAAAGUAAGAAUUUGUCAGUUCUAUAACAUAAUAAAUUCUUGGAAAAUGUUAGCUAUUUCAUGGGCCCCUCAUUUUAUGGGUAAUAUGGAUUAGUUUAUAUGGGUAUAAUAUUUAUAUAUACAUAUAUUUUGUAUCUAUAUGUGUGUAUAUGUACUUAUAUUAAAUUGAGCAGUCAACAUUUACAUUUAAAUCUAUGCUCUGUGAAAUGUAGAUCUCCUCUGUACAGACACAGUGCUAUGGUUAUUUAUUGCUACCUAAUAAAGAACUUCAAACUUAGUAUAAACAAAAAUUUUAAUAUGUGCACAGAUAUUCAAACAGUGCACAGAGGAGAUGGUUUGCCUCUAUUCCAUGACUGAUGUUGGAAGUCUCAGUUCAUGAUGAUUCAAAUGGCUGGGGUUGGAGUUGUCUAGAUCAUUUUAAUUCACAUGUCUGAUACCUGAGAGGGGAUGACUUGAAGACUGGGCCCAACUAGGGCUCUUGACUGGAGUGCCUACAGAUGCCUACCCACCUGGACUUCUCAUAACAUGGUAGUUAGGUUUUACGACGGAGUGUCCUGAGAAUGAGUGUCCAGGGAUCAAGCUGCAAAAGCUGCAUGACCUCUCAUGUCAUAGGCUUAGAUAUUACAUAGCAACACUUUCAUCAUAUUAUAUUACAAUGUUGAUCUUUUUCUAUAAAGUGUCAGUCAAUAGUUUAGGUUUUGCAAGCCAUACAGUCUCUGUUGCAGCUACUCAGCUCUGCUGCUGUGAUGUGAAAACAGCCAAGACAAUACGUAUACUCGUGAAUAUGGCUGUGUCCUAAUACAGCUUUAUUUACAAAAGCAAAUAGAGGCCUAGAUUUGGUCCACCAGCUAUAAUUUACUUCUGAUCUAUUGUUUGAAGCCAUGGAAAGCGUGCCCAAAUUCAAAGGGAAAUGCUCACAUCUGGAUAGGAAGAGUGGCAGAGAAUUUGGGACCCUGUUUUAAAACCAUCACAUAUGGGAUAUUUAUAUUAGUAUCUGUCUGCAUAUCUUGUUUCUCACAUGUUCAAUGUAUGUAAGUUUUGGGACAUCUUACAUCUCUGUAAUCCUGGGUCAAGUUCAAAGUUGGAAUCUGAACUUAAUGACCAUGAUUCCUGAAAUAAUUAGUAACUAUGAUUUCCUUCAAUUCCUUAUCACAAUAAAUAUAUCAUAAAAGAUAGAUUUCAAGAAAGUAAUUGAUUUAUGUAAUUUGGUACAGGGCAGACUUUUAUUAAGUCUCCAUUGGCUGAAUUAUUUCAUUUUGGUUAGAAAGUGUAAUUUGUGUUUUCUCUCUUUCCUGUAGAGAUUUUCAACUUUUCAGAUAAGGCAUUUCAUUCUGUUGAAAGGAUGAUACAGGUUUUUUAAUAGAUGGAAAAAUCAGGGAAGGAUGGAUUCACUCAGAUCACACUAAUGCUUACAGGAAUAACAGAAAUUGGAACACAGGCUUCCAGAUUUUCCUGUCCUGUGCUCUUUCUGGUAGCUGCUAUUGUCCGCUGGGCUUGGCAAUAAUCAUUUUUGACCUUUACCUCUCUAGGCUAUUGUGAAGUAGUUUUGGUCUUUGUUAGCUUUCUUACGAGUUCAUACUAAAUUGUGUCUAUAAAGUAGGCUGAAUUUCUCAGGGAAGGAUGAACACUGUAUUACUGUGUCAUUACUUACAAAUGUUGUGUUGGUUACCCUUAUUUUUCCCCCUUUUGUCCAGCUGUAUCCUGAACUUAUAAAAAUAUAUUAUCCAAAAUAAAAGAUGUGCAUCUGAUGGAAAACACUAAUUUAAGGGAUGAAACUUCCUGAUGAUUGCUUCAGUCAACCCUUAAUACACACUGAGCUUUGUUAGUAAAUAGAUAACUCUCAGAUCUUUCCCUGGGAAGAGAUGGCACAAUCAGCUUUGCGUUGAUUUCACAUUCUGUUCUUUUAGAGACAGAACAAAUUAGAAUAAUUGGCGGGUACAGGGCAAGCACAAAGAACUUUCUUAUAUUUUUGUGAUGCAUGCCUUAAUAAGGAUUGAAAAUGAGACUAAAGGCGCAAAUGUGAAACUCAGAAGGCAGUGGGGAGAGAGUAUUGUUUCUUUGAAAACACUCUUUCAGUGUUGGCCCAGAGAAAUAUGAAGGAAAAUUCCACAUUUCCAUCUUGUGGGAAAUAUAGCCUAAUCCUUCCAGUCAAGAUCAGAAUACCCAUCAGCUUGGAGACCAAGAGGAAAGCUUGAGGAUCAUUAAAUCUGAAUUUGUGCUUGGGGAGAAUGAAAAUUAAUUCAAGAAGAGACUCUGUCUGGAGUGAAAGGGUGUGGACCUGGAAAGCAGUAAGCUACCUCCUAAACACAACUGUAUUGUGGAAGUGGCCAAAGACCAGGACAUAUAAUGAGCAGGUUGGAAUACUCAUUGGAUAAGAUGCCUGUAGGUGUUAGCCCAAUCCAAAUUAACAACAUUUUUUACAUAAUGUUUAGCAAUUAAUGCACUAUGAUAGAAAUGGUACUGAAUUUAAGGGAUUGGCUGGCAGAUAAUUUAAGCCUGGUCUUAGCUAUGAAUGACUUCCUUUUCUGGUGUAAAAUAAUUUCGAGGUAGGUAUCUCCCAUCUCUAAACUUUCCUUUUGUAGUAUAUGGGAUCUUUACAUACUACUUGAUCUUCACAUACUAAAUUUCUAUUUUUUUGGGAAGACUUUCUUGUUUAGAUGAACUAAAUUAAAGUUUCUGCAGAAAUCAGAGAGCCACUUCAUACCUUAGCUUUCCUCUCUCCCAACCUUUGCAAUUCCUUGUAACCUCCAAAGUCUGUGCCCUAUGGAGAAUUAAAAGAACAAUAUUUGGGUAUUUGGUUUGUUUUUCUUUCUUCCCUACUGGUAACUCAAAUUUUUUGCUAAUACCAAAAAAAAAAAAAAAAAAAA